GGAAAACAAGAAAUGUCUAUGCCCAGUCACCGAAGGAUUCUCUCUUCACCAAAUUGUCACAUUGCAACUGCUCAUUCACACUUAACAGCCACGAACUGCAUAACAGCUUUCAAUUACCAAUAAUGCAACCACGCUUUAUUUAUCCACAUGUCCCAUCGUGGAAGCGUGUGACAAAUUGCGCCUCCUGACAUUGCAAGGCACCAUCUUUGGAAGAAUCCUUCUCUAUAUGACAGUGCGUGUGUUGGAAACGGUGAC